rnacentral:lncRNA from 1 species
GUUCCCCAAUGUUCGUCGGUCAGUGUAACUAUGAACCAGGAAUUGCAUACAACUGCACACAAUGUGAACGUCAAGGUCAACACUGUGUAUUCAACUCACAGAUGAACCAAACAUUCUGCAUGCCCCACGGUAUGAUUUCUAACUGGCUAACACCAUAUCUAGUAGCACCAUACCACCUUUUCUUACAUGGGUUUCAUACUUUCAUGCACUAGAAAUCCUUAUAAUUUUCAGUAUAGAAAUUACAAAGACACUGCUAUUCCUGGUUCGUUGACAUUCGCGAGAAUUUGCUGCCAGACUAUCCUACAAAAUAAUAGUCACCACUGCAGAAUAUGGAUGAACCAAUUCUGCUCAAAAUCUUUUAAGAAAAGCAAACAACAGGGAAUUAUAUGUUAAUCCAGCAGUAGUAAGCAACCAUUACUAUAAAGAGUUUUUAGAGCCUAACUGUUAUGUGUUUGUGUUAUGGGUGGGUAGCACUGCUAGAGUCGUAGAUCCAUGACUCUCUAACUUACUCACAACAACCUAACUUAAUUGUAGGGCCAUCUUGACAAGCAGGCAAUCUCAGCAUGCCCCAACAAAGUAGGUGGUGGGUGCUCUAGCCCUCUCUGCAACUGCCCUAGCCCCUCACCUAAACCAGCUAGCACAUGAGCUGCCACUCCAUAACACUAUCGCUCUAACACUACUAAAGAGGACCCACACUUCACAAAUAAUGAAGGGGAAAAAAGGAGAAAAAUGUGACUAUAUGGUGGUGCACUGUGGCAUUGGUUGGCAUUGGGUGCUCCCGGUCCGUGUGGCAUUGCAGUAAUUACAGAGGUUGCGUUGGUGGUGUGGUGUGAGGAACAGAGGCCGACAUCAGUAUUCGCGACAGUGUGCAGGUCAGCAAGAUGGCUGGUGGUGCGACAGGGGUGGCAGCUUUCAUCGCUUUAUUGCAGCCAGGUGGUCACCAUGAUGGCUAGUCCUGCGGAGCGGCGGCUUAUCUGGUGCAGGGAGCUGACCUGGUCUUAGGUGGCGCCCUUUGCUUGGAUGCCACUGCACAUGCAGACGGUGAAGAGAAGGGCAGAGCAAGAGGUUUUUUGUGGGGAGUGGUGCUGGUAAUGGCUGUGCGGAUUGUAGUUUGGGGGCUAGCGGUGUGAGCUGUUGUGGUUUGGCAGUGUGGUUGCCAACGAUUGACGAAGACUUGCAAGUGACAACGGUGUAGUGCAGUGCAGUGGAGACCCGUGCUGCGAAGAUUGGCAAUGUUGUGAUUGUAGUGUGUUGUUCAGCGCUUGUUCUGGCUUGGCCAACCUGCCAUAGUAGAUUGUUGUAGGUUGUUGUGGUUAGGGUUGUUGCUUAGUAUUGAGUUGCAUGCACCAACUGGUUCAACCCUAAUAUACACCAACUGGUUCAACCCUAAUAUGGAAAAAUGAGUAGUUUAUUUAUACUCCAACAGUUGGUUGCUUUAAUUUACCCUUUUGGGUUCUUGUUCUGUCUGAUCUAGGUUUCUUCUUUUUAACACAAUUGGCAACUCUCAUGCCUAUUUCGUUAUAAAAAUAAAAGGUGCAAGCAGAAGAUAGAACGAGCGACUUAAUAAGUGCUUUGUAUGAUAAGAACCACCUAAGAAACGAAAGGGGAGACAAUAGUAAAAGAAGAAAUAGUUGCAUAGAGUAAAAGACUCAGCCAGUGGGAAAGACCACUCCCACGGUUUUCUAUUGGUAGAGAAGAUCCCAGCCAAAUAGCUGCAUAAAGUAACUGAAUAAAGAACCAAUGCGACAUUGUUUGUUGGUAGAAGAUCAGGUUAAUAGUGCGGGUUCUUACUUGGGACCCUAAUAGACAUUAGUCUGUCGAAAACUUAGGUAAUACAUGGAGGAACUACAACUCAAAUCACUUGAUCACCAGAGUUGGCGCCACCAAUUGGCUUCGGAUGUUUAGAUUGUUUGGAAUGAACCUCCCUUUGAUGAUAUCUGCUGAAUAAUAUGCAAGGAAUAUUUCUCUUUUACAUACAUACAUACAUAUAUACAUACAUACGUAUAUACAUGUAUAUAUAUAUAUAUAUAUAAACUUAAAAAGUUAAAACUUCUUGUAUCCAUUGGGGAUCUGGACCACGUCUUCUGGCCACUCGUAUUAAAAUGUUAGAUCGUACCUUUUCUUAACCAACAAGAUAAUUUCCCUUUUUGUACUAAACCGCUAAUGAAGUCUUAUUUCUUCUUUGGUAAUUACAGGUUCACGCGUCAAAGUCAUUGCAGGUAAUGCUGCAAAGAAAACUAAUGAUCCUUACAUUCUCUGAUCCCAUCAACAAGUGGUGGUUUUCUAUCCUGAUUUCUCAUUCUCUGGUUUCUGCUUGUCAGCCACAUCAUCGACAGCAGCAUUAGUUGUUAUUUUGUUGAUGGUGGCCACUGCACUCUAUCUUUCACUUAAGUCAAGAUAUAAUGAAGAAAUACACUUGAAGGUUCAAAUGUUUCUCAACAAAACCCACAAGGUACACUUUCGCUGAAGUUAAGAAGAUAGCAAGGCUGUUUAAGGAAAAGGUAGGCCAAGGGGGAUUUGGAAGUGUAUACAAAGGCGAGCUACCAAGUGGAGUGCCUGUGGCCGUCAAAAUGCUAGAGAACUCUACAGGAGAGGGAGAUGAAUUCAUCAAUGAAGUUGCAACCAUAGGACUAAUCCACCAUGCAAAUUUUGUGCGCCUCUUGGGAUUUUGCUCUCAAGGAACAAGACGUGCCCUUAUUUAUGAAUUCAUGCCUAACGAGUCAUUGGAGAAAUAUAUAUUCUUGCAUGCUUCUGGAGCAUCUCAACAACUCCUAGUACCAAACAAGCGCAUUGCAAAAAGCGCAUCCUCCACUUUGACAUCAAGCCUCACAACAUCUUGCUGUACUACAAGUUCAACCCAAAGAUCUCAGACUUCGGCCUUGCAAAACUUUGUGCGAGGGAUCAAAGCAUUGUUACCUUGACAACAGCAAGAGGUACUAUGGGCUAUAUUGCACCAGAGUUGUAUUCUCGGAAUUUUGGAGAAGUAUCCUACAAGUCAGAUGUUUACAGUUUUGGCAUGCUGGUGUUAGAAAUGGUAAGUGGGAGGAGGAACUCAGAUCCAGGUGUUGCCAGCCAAAAUGAAGUUUACCUCCCAGAGUGGAUCUUCGAGAAGGUAAUCACGUGGCAUGACUUGGUGCUUGCUCGAGAAAUGACAGGAGAAGAGAGAGAAAAGAUCAGACAGCUAGCCAUUGUGGCUCUGUGGUGCAUUCAAUGGAACCCAAGAAAUCGACCCUCGAUGACAAAGGUGGUGAACAUGUUGACAGGGAGGUUGGAGAACCUACAGAUGCCCCCAAAGCCUUUCAUCUCAUCUGAAAGUCAUCCUGUGCCAUAGAGCAUGGAGAAUACUAUGCCACAUGAUUUAAUGAAUAUUUGAGAGAGAGAUAAACUUAGUUCCUCCUGUGUUGCAUAGUAAUGCAUAGUACUAUAGCAUGUGAUGGUUGUUCAGUCUUUUGACGGGUAUUAGCACAUGACAUAUGAAUAGUAAGAUGUCACCAUGUAAUACUAUUUAUUUGCAAUAUAUCAGAUUUGCAGUUGAUGUAUUCAGUAAUCCGAAGGCAAUAUUUUAAAUUUUCAUAUUCUGUAAUACCAAGUAUGUUCUUCCUCACUGAAUUUCCAGGAAAGAGCAAAUGUGUUCUGUUUUCAAUCAACCAAUAAUUAGUGUUAGAUGGAGAACUCACUGUCAAGAGCAUUCGCAUGUGGUAGAUCAUGCCAUCUCUAUUCCCAGGUGCUACAGGUUUUACAAUGUGAAUGGAUGCGUAAGCAUGGGGUCUGAGACUCUGACCACUAUUCCUACUCGAGAUUUUGCAGAACAAAAAACAAAAGGAAAUCAAGUCGAAGGGCUUACCUUUGCCAGUGCCAAGGAGAAGGCAGAUCUAGGUUGCAUCGAGCUGCCGUGGGUCGGCACUACGGCAGGCCCCCUUGCAAGAGCAGAGAGGCCGGCGACGACGAGAAACAGCAUCGGUGUAGAAUGGUAAAGUAGGGGGAAUCGACAGCGGCGCACUAGGAGAGACGUGACGCUUCCUCCCCGGCGCGUGAUUAGUUACAAGGGAUCGCCGCCCAGUGGCGGCCGCGGCCGCGGCCGGAGCACCGGCGGUGGGAAGAGGCAUCUGUGAUUCGCCGUUUCUAAUAAAAUUGGGCUGGGUUUCGUACUUUUGCGGUGUGUUGGGCUUGAUGGACCAGCCCACUGAAAAUCUCGGAGGUAGGCCCAAGUGUUACCGCCGGAAGCCUGGCCGUAACAGAUAAGGAAUCCUGCUUCUGCAUUUGC